UUUCCGUAGGUGAACCUGCGGAAGGAUCAUUACUGAGUGAGGGCCCUCUGGGUCCAACCUCCCGCCCGUGUUUAUUAUACCUUGUUGCUUCGGUGAGCCCGCCUCACGGCCGCCGGGGGGCAUCUGCCCCCGGGCCCGCGCCCACCGAAGACACCUAGAACUCUGUAUGAAGAUUGCAGUCUGAGCAAAAACUAAAUAAGUUAAAACUUUCAACAACGGAUCUCUUGGUUCCG
rnacentral:misc_RNA from 1 species